UGUGGCCCCCACCUCUGGGAGCUCUCUGCUUUAGAGGACCUUCCUUGUGCCCAGGCCUGGCUGGGCUCCCAGCGCCAUCAAGGUGAGGAAUCCCAAUAUUGGACCUGGUCCUGUGUGAAUCCCGAUUUCCAUCUCUUCCUCUUUCGCAGAGACUAUGUACCACUUCUGCCUUGACCCCACAGCCUCCAAGGGUUGACCAGAUGUCCUAAAGACCAUCCCAGGGCCCCGUGGUUGGACCCCUGUAGCAGACUCUCAGAGGUUGUCGGUGCAACAGGACUUCAGAGAUGGGCAACUUAUCUGCAGCACGCAGUCCUUCAACUGGCCCAGUGGAGGCAUCCGUGUCCUCUUGGCAUUAGAGAGAUGGGGAGAGAGACGCCAUUCUUCCCAGUGGCCUGGGACGAUCUCCAGCCUCCUGGGAUGAGAAGUUACCAGACUAAAAUAUUUCCCCGUGAGGGAAGGAGGGAAGUGCAUGGGAUUGCAAGUCUGCCCUGAGUGGCUUCUGAUGCGAUGAGAGAGAGAGCACGCGGGCUUCCUGGGAACUCUGCAGCUUGUUCAAGGACUCUUCAAUCACAGACGCCAAGUGCAGGGAGCAAUAAACAAGAUCGCGACUA